GACGAACGCUGGCGGCGUGCUUAACACAUGCCAGUCGAACGGAAAGGCCCUGCUUUUGUGGUGUGCUCGAGUGGCGAACGGGUGAGUAACACGUGAGUAACCUGCUCUUCACUUUGGUAUAACUUCACGAAACUGGGGCUAAUACCGUAUAGCAUCUCCUGCUGCAUGGUGGGGGUUGGAACGUUUCGGCGGUUGGGGAUGGACUCGCGGCUUAUCAGCUUGUUGGUGGGGUAGUGGCUUACCAAGGCUUUGACGGGUAGCCGGCCUGAGAGGGUGACCGGGCACAUGGGGACUGAGAUACGGCGCAGACUGCUACGGGAGGCAGCAGUGGGGAAUAUUGCACAAUGGGCGGAAGCCGGAUGCAGAAACGCCGCGGGCGGGAUGACGGCCUUUGGGUUGUAAAACGCUUUAGCCUGUGACGAAGCGUGAGUGACGGUAAUGGGUAAAGAAGCACCGGCUAACUACGUG
rnacentral:rRNA from 1 species